GACGAACGCUGGCGGCGCGCCUAACACAUGCAAGUCGAACGGAGUCAAGAGGAGCUUGCUUUUCUUGACUUAGUGGCGAACGGGUGAGUAACGCGUGAGUAACCUGCCCUGGAGUGGGGGACAACAGUUGGAAACGACUGCUAAUACCGCAUAAGCCCACGGAUCCGCAUGGAUCUGCGGGAAAAGGAUUUAUUCGCUUCAGGAUGGACUCGCGUCCAAUUAGCUAGUUGGUGAGGUAACGGCCCACCAAGGCGACGAUUGGUAGCCGGACUGAGAGGUUGAGCGGCCACAUUGGGACUGAGACACGGCCCAGACUCCUACGGGAGGCAGCAGUGGGGGAUAUUGCACAAUGGGGGAAACCCUGAUGCAGCGACGCCGCGUGGAGGAAGAAGGUUUUCGGAUUGUAAACUCCUGUCGUUAGGGACGAUAAUGACGGUACCUAACAAGAAAGCACCGGCUAACUACGUG
rnacentral:rRNA from 1 species